rnacentral:rRNA from 1 species
UCCUAUUAUGUUCCGUUGCAAACUGUUGCCUCGGCGGGAUCUCUGCCCCGGGUGCGUCGCAUCCCCGGACCAAGGCGCCCGCCGGAGGACCAACCAAAACUCUUAUUGUAUACCCCCUCGCGGGUUUUUUUAUAAUCUGAGCCUUCUCGGCGCCCCUCGUGGGCGUUUCGAAAAUGAAUCAAAACUUUCAACAACGGAUCUCUUGGUUCUGGCAUCGAUGAAGAACGCAGCGAAAUGCGAUAAGUAAUGUGAAUUGCAGAAUUCAGUGAAUCAUCGAAUCUUUGAACGCACAUUGCGCCCGCCAGUAUUCUGGCGGGCAUGCCUGUCCGAGCGUCAUUUCAACCCUCGAACCCCUCCGGGGGGUCGGCGUUGGGGAUCGGCCCUCCCUCUGCGGGGGCCGUCUCCGAAAUACAGUGGCGGUCUCGCCGCAGCCUCUCCUGCGCAGUAGUUUGCACACUCGCACCGGGAGCGCGGCGCGUCCACAGCCGUUAAACACCCAACUUUCUGAAAUGUUGACCUCGGAUCAGGUAGGAAUACCCGCUGAACUUAAGCAUAUCAAUAAGCGGAGGAAAGUAAAGAGCUUCUAAUUAUGAUUAUAUUUUAGGGGGGGAAUAGGGAGGAGCGUCCCUCACCACAAAACAGAAAAAAAGAUGUUACCCCUUUUAGGUGUUUCAUCAGAGGAUGGGAAAAUAUAUCCGAGGAAAAUGAUGAUUUAGAGAUGAGAAGGAACAACAGGCUAACCACCAAAUCACCAAUUACUUUCGAGAACACUCGAAAAAUCCACUUAAAUCCCCACUAAGGGAGGAAGAGGCACCACAAGGAGGAACAAUAAGGAGCACGGAAAAAAUACCUGACACAUAACAGAACAUUGUAACGAUUUAUUCAUGAAGAUGAACGAUCAAAGAAAUGUGGGGGGGCUCGGAAGUUCAUU